rnacentral:rRNA from 1 species
UACGUAGGGCGCAAGCGUUAUCCGGAAUUAUUGGGCGUAAAGAGCUCGUAGGCGGUUUGUCGCGUCUGCCGUGAAAGUCCGGGGCUCAACUCCGGAUCUGCGGUGGGUACGGGCAGACUAGAGUGAUGUAGGGGAGACUGGAAUUCCUGGUGUAGCGGUGAAAUGCGCAGAUAUCAGGAGGAACACCGGUGGCGAAGGCGGUUCUCUGGGCCUGUACUGACGCUCAUGCACGAAAGCGUGGGGAGCAAACAGG